rnacentral:rRNA from 1 species
UACGUAGGUGGCAAGCGUUGUCCGGAUUUACUGGGCGUAAAGAGCGCGCAGGCGGUUAUUCAAGUCGAAUGUGAAAGCCCCCGGCUUAACUGGGGAGGGUCAUCCGAUACUGUUUAACUUGAAGGCAGGAGAGGGUAGUGGAAUUCCCGGUGUAGUGGUGAAAUGCGUAGAUAUCGGGAGGAACACCAGUGGCGAAGGCGACUACCUGGCCUGUUCUUGACGCUGAGGCGCGAAAGCUAGGGGAGCAAACGGG